rnacentral:rRNA from 1 species
GAUGAACGCUGGCGGCGUGCCUAAUACAUGCAAGUCGAGCGAACAGACGAGGAGCUUGCUCCUCUGACGUUAGCGGCGGACGGGUGAGUAACACGUGGAUAACCUACCUAUAAGACCGGGAUAACUUCGGGAAACCGGAGCUAAUACCGGAUAACAUGUUGAACCGCAUGGUUCAACAGUGAAAGACGGUCUUGCUGUCACUUAUAGAUGGAUCCGCGCCGCAUUAGCUAGUUGGUAAGGUAACGGCUUACCAAGGCAACGAUGCGUAGCCGACCUGAGAGGGUGAUCGGCCACACUGGAACUGAGACACGGUCCAGACUCCUACGGGAGGCAGCAGUAGGGAAUCUUCCGCAAUGGGCGAAAGCCUGACGGAGCAACGCCGCGUGAGUGAAGAAGGUCUUCGGAUCGUAAAACUCUGUUAUUAGGGAAGAACAAAUGUGUAAGUAACUAUGCACGUCUUGACGGUACCUAAUCAGAAAGCCACGGCUAACUACGUG